rnacentral:rRNA from 1 species
GACGAACGCUGGCGGCGUGCUUAACACAUGCAAGUCGAGCGGAGCGGCGAACGGGGGAGUAACGCGUGAGUAACUGCCCCCCUCUCUGGGAUAACAGUUGGAAACGGAUGCUAAUACCGGAUAGUGGGGGAUGACUCGGGUCCUAUCAGCUGGUUGGUGGGGUAGUGGCUUACCAAGGCGACGACGGGUAGCCGGCCUGAGAGGUCGACCGGCCUCCUUGGGCUGAGAUACGGCCCAGACGCCUACUGGAGGCAGUGGGGGGUAAUAUUGCGCAAUGGGGGAAACCCUGAUGCAGCAACGCGCGUGCGGGAUGUCGGCCUUCGGGUUGGAAACCGCUUUCAGCCAUGACGCGGUAGUGGCAGAAGAAGCACCGGCUAACUACGUGCCAGCAGCCGCGGUAAUAC